AGAAUCAACGCUGGCGGCGUGCCUAACACAUGCAAGUCGCACGAGAAAGGGGUAGCAAUACCUGAGUACAGUGGCGCACGGGUGAGUAACACGUGAAUAAUCUACCUCCGAGUGGGGAAUAACUGAGAGAAAUCUUAGCUAAUACCGCAUAAUACCCACGGGUCAAAGCAGCAAUGCGCUUGGAGAGGAGUUCGCGGCAGAUUAGUUAGUUGGCGGGUAAUGGCCCACCAAGACGAUGAUCUGUAUCCGGCCUGAGAGGGCGCACGGACACACUGGAACUGAAACACGGUCCAGACUCCUACGGGAGGCAGCAGUGGGGAAUUUUGCGCAAUGGGGGAAACCCUGACGCAGCAACGCCGCGUGGAGGAUGAAGCCCCUUGGGGUGUAAACUCCUUUCGAUCGGGAAGAUAAUGACGGUACCGAUAUAAGAAGCCCCGGCUAACUUCGUGCCAGCAGCCGC
rnacentral:rRNA from 1 species